rnacentral:rRNA from 1 species
UUAUACAGCGAAACUGCGAAUGGCUCAUUAAAUCAGUUAUCGUUUAUUUGAUAGCACCUUACUACUUGGAUAACCGUGGUAAUUCUAGAGCUAAUACAUGCUAAAAACCCCAACGCAAGGAGGGGUGUGUUUAUUAGAUUAAAAACCAAUGCCCUUUUGGGCUCCCUGGUGAUCCAUAAUAACCUUUCGGAUCGCACGGCCUUGUGCCGGCGAUGGUUCAUUCAAAUUUCUGCCCUAUCAACUUUCGAUGGCUGGGUAUUGGCCAGCCAUGGUGACAACGGGUAACGGAGGGUUAGGGCUCGACCCCGGAGAGGGGGCCUGAGAGAUGGCCACCACAUCCAAGGAAGGCAGCAGGCGCGCAAAUUACCCAAUGACGACACGUCGAGGUAGUGACAAUACGUACUGAUACAGGGCUCUUUUGGGUCUUGUAAUUGGAAUGAGUACAAUUUAAAUCCCUUAACGAGGAACAAUUAGAGGGCAAGUCUGGUGCCAGCAGCCGCGGUAAUUCCAGCUCUAAUAGCGUAUAUUAAUGUUGUUGAGGUUAAAAAGCUCGUAGUUGAACCUUGGGCCUGGCUGGCCGGUCUGCCUCACCGCAUGCACUGGUCCGGUCGGGUCUUUCCCUCUGGGGAGCCGCAUGCCCUUCACUGGGUGUGCCGGGGAACCAGGACUUUUACUCUGAACAAAUCAGAUCGCUUCAAGAAGGCCUAUGCUCGAAUGUUCUAGCAUGGAAUAAUAGAAUAGGACGUGUGGUUCUAUUUUGUUGGUUUCUAGGACCGCCGUAAUGAUUAAUAGGGACAGUCGGGGGCAUCAGUAUUCAAUUGUCAGAGGUGAAAUUCUUGGAUUUAUUGAAGACUAACUACUGCGAAAGCAUUUGCCAAGGAUGUUUUCAUUAAUCAGGAACGAAAGUUAGGGGAUCGAAGACGAUCAGAUACCGUCGUAGUCUUAACCAUAAACUAUGCCGAUUAGGGAUCGGACGGUGUUAUUUUUUGACCCGUUCGGCACCUUACGAAAAAUCAAAAUGUUUGGGCUCCUGGGGGAGUAUGGUCGCAAGGCUGAAACUUAAAGAAAUUGACGGAAGGGCACCACCAGGGGUGGAGCCUGCGGCUUAAUUUGACUCAACACGGGGAAACUCACCAGGUCCAGACACAAGUAGGAUUGACAGAUUGAGAGCUCUUUCUUGAUUUUGUGGGUGGUGGUGCAUGGCCGUUCUUAGUUGGUGGAGUGAUUUGUCUGCUUAAUUGCGAUAACGAACGAGACCUUAACCUGCUAAAUAGCCCGUGUUGCUUUGGCAGCACGCUGGCUUCUUAGA